AAGUUAUUGAUAUUAUAUAGAUCUAAUAAUAUGAAUAUAUUUAUAUAGGCCUAUAUAUUAAUCAUAAACAUAAAUGAUAUUUUACCUAAACCAUUCGCCAUCAUUAAUAGUCUAUCAUAAAAUUUUACAAGAUUAGAAUAAUGGAAAAUAUUUAUGGUUGUUUAUAGAAAAUAAAGCAUUAAAACAAACAAAUCAUGGUUUUUAUCAUCGUGUCAGCUAAUCCAGUUAAUCCUCAAUAAAUAUUUUUUAUAAACUAUGCGAUGUUUUAUUUUGUUCCUUUAGUGGGUCAGAUUCUUAAGAUAUUUAGAAAAUUACGGCUACAAAAUAAUUUAAAUUUUACAUCUUGAAUAUUUAGUUUUGAUUGAAUUUAUUUAAUAUGAUUAAAUAAUAUCAUAUGAGAACCAUUGGAAUAUUAAAUUUCGCAUAGUUUAAGAAUCUUCUCACCCUUCUCUUAAAAUAUAGGUCAAAUUAUUCACAAAAUCUAAAGCUACGUUUAUAUGACUAUAAUUUGUAAACAUUUCUACAUAACAAUACAAAUGGGAGGGAUUAAAUAAGUAAUUCUGUAAACUAUGGGCAGUAGGCCUACUAAGAACAUUUCUUACCAAAGAAAUAAUAAGGAGAUGGAAUGUUAACUUAGGAGCAUAAAAAAAUGUCGACAUCAGCUGACUCAUUCCAACAAUUGAAACAAAGUGGCCGCCCACUUUUGGGUCACGAAGAAAAUCACGAUACAGCGUGACAAACGUGAGUGUUAAGAAGUCAUUAUCUUUCACAAAAAAUUUUAUAAGGUACACAUAUAAAUAUCCUGGAGUAACCUUGUUCCGAAUGCGCUUUGUUAAAAAUUGAAUAGGGGAAAUUUUAAGUUCCAGUGACCUUUCUUAUUUGUUUUUGUUCAACAAACGAAAUCUUUUACUCUGUCAUAGUUUGGGUUAAUGCACAGAUUCCAAACUCAUAAUUAACACGUCACGUUUUACAUUUAAUCAGCUUAGAAUACUGUAUUGAUUGAAACGUGCAUUAUUUUAAUGCAACUCCAUUAAAUUUUAGAAUUUAUUGUGAUUCUUGCGGAUUGUAUCCAUUUAUAUACUAACAGAUUGUAAUGGCUUAAUAAUAGGCAAUCAAACUAAAUAAGAAAAUUGACUCUGAGUGAAAUUAUAAAGGAGGAGGAAAAAAAUCCGAGAUCGUGACUAGUUACACAGUGACUUCUUGGCUUAAUAGAAAUUACAUUAAAUUAAGUGGAAACGACAACACGAGUUAAAAAUCCAACGAGAACAUAACGUGUAAAAAAGAACAACUAUUGCGACUAACUCGGCCAUGUUCACUGAUAAAUGCUUAAUGAAGAGUUCAUUCAGCAUAGGUGGUCAUGUAAGAAGCAAAGGUUUUAACUUACUCCAGACCUCCCGUAUUUGAUAAACUAUAAAAAGAAAUUUUAAGACUGUCUUAUAAUAUUUAUGUUCUAUGGCAAAGCAAUUAACGCGUAUACGUUGUCAGACCAAACGGAUUCUAUCAGGACCCCGUAGAUGAAACGGAGGAGGUCCUUUGAUAGAAAACGAAAAAAAGCUAUUAACCAAUAGGUUAGUACCAUUAACGUAAUGCCUCGCUAUCUGUCAGACUUAAUGCAAGAACGAGCGGCUAUUAAAACUGAGGGCUCUAAAACAUUUCAUCGACGUAAUGGCAGAAAACUGACAUUUUACAACAUGACCCGCAGUAUUACAUUUAAAAGUUAUCCGACUUCGAAUACCGAACUCGACUUGUGCACUUUAUUUCAAGCCUUCCUGCAGUUUGUCUUCACAGUAUACGUUAUAAAUAGAAAGCAUUUUCAUUCGCUAAAGAAUAAAAAAUUUUAUCUCAUAAUUCAUACAGUUACAUUACUGUUUCUUAAUUAAAUUUUCCUAUUUGUUGUUUUAACGAUUUUGUUAUUUGUAGAAAACGUAAUAUUUAAUUAUUUUUGUUAAUUAAUUUAAUCUGGUUUUAUGUCAAUUAAAAAUUAAUGAAAAUAAUGUUAGAAUGCAUCUAAAAAAAAAAACCAUUAAAUUGUUUUCCAAAUCCAUAUCAUUUAUCCGAAUAGAUUACUAAAGUGAUCGGAUAAUUUAGUAUGAUAGAAAGAAAAGUUGAAUUAAUUUAAUUUUAGAAGGCAUUGAAAAUUUAAAAAAUUUUCUAACAUAAAGCAAUAAUAAAAAAAUUUAUCAUCAAAAAAUCCGUUAUAUAUGUAUUUAUGCCCGUCUAUGUUAUUUUUUAUACGUCUAUGUCAUGAAUGUCUGUAGUUUCCGUAGAUAUGUAAAAAUGCAUUUUGUACAAUUCUAUAUUUUUUAUGAAUUGUUCUAUUAGUUUGAUAAACAUAAGCUAAAUAAUUGCAUAUUAAAAAAGGUGUAAAAAAUUAUGAGACACUUAAAUUUGCUUAUAUAAAUGCAACAAAUUUAUUGGAGAAAAUUUUUUCUUAUAUGACAAACUAACCAUUUACGAAUAAAUGUGGCUGAAUUAUUGACAAUAUUUAGUCCCGUAUAUAGUUUUUUGUUAAAUAUUUAACUUAUAUUUUGGAAACUUAUUAAUAGAUCUAUUUAAAAAAUCUUUGCAGUAGCGCACAGUAAAAAAUUUUGGGUCUUGUAUAAAGUAUUUCUUUGGUCUUUAUAGUCACAGUGCAGUAACAAAUCGAGACCUUUCCCAUCGAUAGGGCCUACAAAAUUAUUUUCAAGUCAUCGAAUUUAAGAAUAACUUUAUCUUUACUGAAUUUUAUGUUAAAAAGAUUAUUAAGUGAAUUUUUAGCAUAAAAUUCAGUGGGAUCGUUUCAAAUGAUAAAAUUUAAUUCUACGUAGGCUCUACAAUAAUAGGUCAAAUUUUAUUAGUCUGUUAUUUUAUAACAUCUGGAAUAUCGAUAAUAUUUGGGUUGGCAUUAUUAAACUUGUUAAGUCCAUUCGUUAAAUAAUAAAAAAACUGCAUAAUUUCGUAGUAAUUUAAAUUUUCUUCUUUCUCUGACACGUUUUAAUUCACGUUAUAUCGCACGCUUAAAGAUUUCUUAUGGGAUUAAAGCUAUGCAAACUAAAUAUUGUAUUAAGAUAUAGGAAAUGAAUUCAUUUAUUUAUUAUUAAAUUUAGAUAAUAAGAUAAAUUUAAAAUGCUUAAAAUAAUACAGAGAAUCAAAAAAAUUCUGAUCGUUACAUGCAAAGAAUGGCUUCGAUCUUGUUUAUUAAAUAUGGAGUAAACUAUAACGUACUACUAUACCAUAAGCAUAAAAUCUAAGAUGGUUUGCUCAGAAUGAUUCUAAUUAUGAGACAAAAAAGAUGCCGAAAACUGGAUAGGCCUAUAUCAUUAAAUUAAGUUCAUAGAUGUUGGUAUUUUACCUACGAAAAUUUAUUUUAUGUAAAUUGAUAUCAAAUAGGAUCCUUCUUAUUAUAGAAGCCUCUUUUAAGUCGGGUUAAUUCGUAAUGUACCAUUUCAUAUAGCGUAAAUUAAAAAUUAUUAAAAAUAUUCGAAUAGAGGAAGAUAUCAAAAUUAUACAAAAAAAUAAGCCUGCUAAGGUUUCGGCUUUGUUUAGGCUAUUGUUUAGAAGAUUUCUAAGCGCUAAAAAAUUAAAUAUUUAACUGUAUUCAAGCAAACUUAAUAAAUUCACAAUACUUUCAAAGCUAAACAAAUUAACACAGUAAUUCUGUAAUCUUAAUUUAUGUUAUCAUAAAUAGAAAAUAUUCAUCCAAAUUUACAAAAGGUACAUUAAAAUAUUAGAAUUAAGACUUUAAUAUUAUAAAGAUCGCUAAUUUUCUCAUUAAAAACUUUAGAAAGAACAUUUUCUGGAAUGUAAUAUAAAAAAAUUCCAUUAUGAC
rnacentral:lncRNA from 1 species